CCGUUUGUCUGUCUGUCUGUGUAUUUAGAGCACCUGUUCCUGUAUGUAACACAGUUUUUCAAUACAAGUCAUUUGUGGCUGAAUUUACCAAUGAAUAUAAUUUUUUAUUUAAUUUCACACCAUUAUUUUUAAAUUUAUUUCUACAUGUGUAUAGCUUAAAUUUUUACAUAAUUUAUUUAACUUUUUAUUGUUUUCUGUUUUGCUAUUUUUAUCUUGUUAAUUUCUUUAUUUGUAUAUACGAGAGUGUGUGUAUGGGUUUAUCAUUAAAAUAUUUUGAAUAAUUAUAAAAAAAAAUUACUUUUAAGUAUUUCAUAUUCAUAUGUUAUUUGUCUGGAUAAUCAUUCCAAGAUAAUUAGGGCAGCGUAUCUUAAGCCGUCAUAAUUGUACCUGGGAGAUUAAUAUGAAUGUAGUGAGUUUUUGAAUUAAUUGUUUGUUAAACAGAUGAUCUUAUUUCUCAUGUUGUUCACUGCACUGUUUUUGAUUGACAAUAAAUCUAUUGUUUUUGAU
rnacentral:sRNA from 1 species